rnacentral:misc_RNA from 1 species
GAUGAAGAACGUAGCGAAAUGCGAUAAGUAAUGCGAAUUGCAGAAUUUCCGUGAAUCAUCGAAUCUUUGAACGCACAUUGCGCCCCUUGGUAUUCCAUGGGGCAUGCCUGUUCGAGCGUCAUUUGUACCUUCAAGCUUUGCUUGGUGUUGGGUGUUUGUCUCGCCUUUGCGUGUAGACUCGCCUUAAAAUAAUUGGCAGCCGGCGUAUUGAUUUCGGAGCGCAGUACAUCUCGCGCUUUGCACUCAUAACGACAGCGUCCAAAAGUACAUUUUACACUCUUGACCUCGGAUCAGGUAGGGAUACCCGCUGAACUUAAGCAUAUCAAUAAGCGGAGGA